rnacentral:rRNA from 1 species
AGAACGAACGCUGGCGGCAUGCCUAACACAUGCAAGUCGAACGAGACCUUCGGGUCUAGUGGCGCACGGGUGCGUAACGCGUGGGAAUCUGCCCUUGGGUUCGGGAUAACAGUUGGAAACGACUGCUAAUACCGGAUGAUGACUUCGGUCCAAAGAUUUAUCGCCCAGGGAUGAGCCCGCGUAGGAUUAGCUAGUUGGUGAGGUAAAGGCUCACCAAGGCGACGAUCCUUAGCUGGUCUGAGAGGAUGAUCAGCCACACUGGGACUGAGACACGGCCCAGACUCCUACGGGAGGCAGCAGUGGGGAAUAUUGGACAAUGGGCGAAAGCCUGAUCCAGCAAUGCCGCGUGAGUGAUGAAGGCCUUAGGUUGUAAAGCUCUUUACCCGGGAUGAUAAUGACAGUACCGGAGAAUAAGCCCGGCUAACUCCGCGCCAGCAGCCGC